GUGGGGAAUUUUGGGCAAUGGGCGAAAGCCUGACCCAGCCACGCCGCGUGAGUGAUGAAGGCCUUCGGGUUGUAAAGCUCUGUGGGGAGGGAAGAAAAAGCGCAGGAGUAACUGCCUGUGUGUUGACGGUACCUCCUUAGCAAGCACCGGCUAACUCUGUGCCAGCAGCCGCGGUAAUACAGAGGGUGCAAACGUUGCUCGGAAUUACUGGGCGUAAAGCGCGUGUAGGCUGACAUGCAAGUCGGGUGUGAAAUCCCAGGGCUCAACCUUGGAACUGCACUCGAAACUGCACGUCUUGAGUACUGGAGAGGGAAGCGGAAUUCCGGGUGUAGAGGUGAAAUUCGUAGAUAUCCGGAGGAACACCAGUGGCGAAGGCGGCUUCCUGGACAGUAACUGACGCUGAGACGCGAAAGCGUGGGGAGCAAACAGGAUUAGAUACCCUAGUAGUCC
rnacentral:rRNA from 1 species